UACAGCGGUCUCCCCCGUUGUUCGGAUUUAUUGGGCGUAAAGGGUGCGUAGGCGGCGGGGCAAGUCAGGUGUGAAAUCUCGGGGCUCAACCCCGAAACUGCACUUGAUACUGCCUUGCUAGAGUACUGGAGAGGAGACUGGAAUUUACGGUGUAGCAGUGAAAUGCGUAGAUAUCGUAAGGAAGACCAGUGGCGAAGGCGAGUCUCUGGACAGUUACUGACGCUGAGGCACGAAGGCCAGGGGAGCAAACGGG
rnacentral:rRNA from 1 species